UGUUAGUGGAAGCGUCUGGAAAGGCGCGCGAUACAGGGUGACAGCCCCGUACACAAAAAUGCACAUGCUGUGAGCUCGAUGAGUAGGGCGGGACACGUGGUAUCCUGUCUGAAUAUGGGGGGACCAUCCUCCAAGGCUAAAUACUCCUGACUGACCGAUAGUGAACCAGUACCGUGAGGGAAAGGCGAAAAGAACCCCGGCGAGGGGAGUGAAAAAGAACCUGAAACCGUGUACGUACAAGCAGUGGGAGCACGCUUAGGCGUGUGACUGCGUACCUUUUGUAUAAUGGGUCAGCGACUUAUAUUCUGUAGCAAGGUUAACCGAAUAGGGGAGCCGAAGGGAAACCGAGUCUUAACUGGGCGUUAAGUUGCAGGGUAUAGACCCGAAACCCGGUGAUCUAGCCAUGGGCAGGUUGAAGGUUGGGUAACACUAACUGGAGGACCGAACCGACUAAUGUUGAAAAAUUAGCGGAUGACUUGUGGCUGGGGGUGAAAGGCCAAUCAAACCGGGAGAUAGCUGGUUCUCCCCGAAAGCUAUUUAGGUAGCGCCUCGUGAAUUCAUCUCCGGGGGUAGAGCACUGUUUCGGCAAGGGGGUCAUCCCGACUUACCAACCCGAUGCAAACUGCGAAUACCGGAGAAUGUUAUCACGGGAGACACACGGCGGGUGCUAACGUCCGUCGUGAAGAGGGAAACAACCCAGACCGCCAGCUAAGGUCCCAAAGUCAUGGUUAAGUGGGAAACGAUGUGGGAAGGCCCAGACAGCCAGGAUGUUGGCUUAGAAGCAGCCAUCAUUUAAAGAAAGCGUAAUAGCUCACUGGUCGAGUCGGCCUGCGCGGAAGAUGUAACGGGGCUAAACCAUGCACCGAAGCUGCGGCAGCGACGCUGAUGCGUUGUUGGGUAGGGGAGCGUUCUGUAAGCCUGCGAAGGUGUGCUGUGAGGCAUGCUGGAGGUAUCAGAAGUGCGAAUGCUGACAUAAGUAACGAUAAAGCGGGUGAAAAGCCCGCUCGCCGGAAGACCAAGGGUUCCUGUCCAACGUUAAUCGGGGCAGGGUGAGUCGACCCCUAAGGCGAGGCCGAAAGGCGUAGUCGAUGGGAAACAGGUUAAUAUUCCUGUACUUGGUGUUACUGCGAAGGGGGGACGGAGAAGGCUAUGUUGGCCGGGCGACGGUUGUCCCGGUUUAAGCGUGUAGGCUGGUUUUCCAGGCAAAUCCGGAAAAUCAAGGCUGAGGCGUGAUGACGAGGCACUACGGUGCUGAAGCAACAAAUGCCCUGCUUCCAGGAAAAGCCUCUAAGCAUCAGGUAACAUCAAAUCGUACCCCAAACCGACACAGGUGGUCAGGUAGAGAAUACCAAGGCGCUUGAGAGAACUCGGGUGAAGGAACUAGGCAAAAUGGUGCCGUAACUUCGGGAGAAGGCACGCUGAUAUGUAGGUGAAGUCCCUCGCGGAUGGAGCUGAAAUCAGUCGAAGAUACCAGCUGGCUGCAACUGUUUAUUAAAAACACAGCACUGUGCAAACACGAAAGUGGACGUAUACGGUGUGACGCCUGCCCGGUGCCGGAAGGUUAAUUGAUGGGGUCAGCGCAAGCGAAGCUCUUGAUCGAAGCCCCGGUAAACGGCGGCCGUAACUAUAACGGUCCUAAGGUAGCGAAAUUCCUUGUCGGGUAAGUUCCGACCUGCACGAAUGGCGUAAUGAUGGCCAGGCUGUCUCCACCCGAGACUCAGUGAAAUUGAACUCGCUGUGAAGAUGCAGUGUACCCGCGGCAAGACGGAAAGACCCCGUGAACCUUUACUAUAGCUUGACACUGAACAUUGAGCCUUGAUGUGUAGGAUAGGUGGGAGGCUUUGAAGUGUGGACGCCAGUCUGCAUGGAGCCGACCUUGAAAUACCACCCUUUAAUGUUU
rnacentral:rRNA from 1 species